UCUUAUGGAUGAGCAAAGAAAAUAGUUUCUUAAGAUGGAAACUAGUCCUGGUGAAGCUGUUGUGAA
rnacentral:pre_miRNA from 1 species